rnacentral:rRNA from 1 species
GACGAACGCUGGCGGCGUGCUUAACACAUGCAAGUCGAACGGAAAGGCCCUGCUUGCAGGGUACUCGAGUGGCGAACGGGUGAGUAACACGUGGGUGAUCUGCCCUGCACUUCGGGAUAAGCCUGGGAAACUGGGUCUAAUACCGGAAAGGAGCCAUUUUUAGUGUGAUGGUUGGAAAGUUUUUUCGGUGUAGGAUGAGCUCGCGGCCUAUCAGCUUGUUGGUGGGGUAAUGGCCUACCAAGGCGGCGACGGGUAGCCGGCCUGAGAGGGUGGACGGCCACAUUGGGACUGAGAUACGGCCCAGACUCCUACGGGAGGCAGCAGUGGGGAAUAUUGCACAAUGGGCGCAAGCCUGAUGCAGCGACGCCGCGUGGGGGAUGACGGCCUUCGGGUUGUAAACUCCUUUCGCUAGGGACGAAGCUUUUGUGACGGUACCUAGAUAAGAAGCACCGGCUAACUACGUG